AUACGGAGGAUCCGAGCGUUAUCCGGAUUUAUUGGGUUUAAAGGGUGCGCAGGCGGGAGCUUAAGUCGGCGGUGAACUUUUGCAGCUCAACUGUACAAGGGGCUUCGAAACUGGUUUUCUUGAGUGUAGAUGAAGUAGGCGGAAUUUGUGGCGUAGCGGUGCAAUGCAUAGAUAACACGAGGAACUCCGAUUGCGCAGGCAGCUUACUAAACUACUACUGACGCUCAGGCACGAAGGCGUGGGGAUCAAACAGGAUUAGAUACCCUGGUAGUCCACGCAGUAAACGAUGAUUACUAGCUGUUUGCGAUACAAUGUAAGCGGCUGAGCGAAAGCGUUAAGUAAUCCACCUGGGGAGUACGUUCGCAAGAAUGAAACUUAAAGGAAUUGACGGGG
rnacentral:rRNA from 1 species